CGGGUGAGUAACACGUGGGUAACCUGCCUUGAUGACCGGGACAACCCGAGGAAACUCGGGCUAAUACCGGAUGUGCCCUCCGACCGUGAGGUCGCUGGGGAAAGGAAGCUUCGGCCUCCGCAUCGGGAUGGGCCCGCGGCCCAUUAGCUUGUUGGUGAGGUAACGGCUCACCAAGGCGACGAUGGGUAGCUGGUCUGAGAGGACGAUCAGCCACACUGGGACUGAGACACGGCCCAG
rnacentral:rRNA from 1 species